AGAGUUUGAUCCUGGCUCAGAUUGAACGCCUGGCGGCAUGCCUUACACAUGCCAGUCGAACGGCAGCACGGGGGGUAACCCUGGGUGGCAGGUGGCGAACGGGGUGAGGUAAUACAUCGGAACGUGUGUUCCUGGUGGGGGGGAUUGCCCCGGGCGCAAAGCCCGGGAAUUAAAUAUCCGCCAUUAUCGCAAUCUUACGGGGAAGAAAAAGCCGGGGGGGGAAUCCCAUUCGUGGCAGGCACCCUCGCUAGUUGGUGGGGCGUGGUGCGCGCAUGUGCACAAUAUUACCAUAGUUGGGGGGGGAAAGAGCCCUUCCCAGGGCGAACGAUUCUGUUAGCCUGGUUCUUGAAGAAGGAACGAAGGGGAACACCACCUUGGGGGAAACCUGAAGAAAACACCGGGGCCCCCCAAGAAAACCUCCCCCUUACCGGGGACUUUU
rnacentral:rRNA from 1 species